rnacentral:rRNA from 1 species
GACAGAGGGUGCAAACGUUGUUCGGAAUUACUGGGCGUAAAGCGCGUGUAGGCGGCCCUGCAAGUCGGAUGUGAAAUCCCACGGCUCAACCGUGGAAGUGCAUUCGAAACUGCAGGGCUAGAGUCCUGGAGAGGAAGGUGGAAUGCUUGGUGUAGAGGUGAAAUUCGUAGAUAUCAAGCGGGAACACCGGUGGCGAAGGCGGCCUUCUGGGACAGUGACUGGACGCUGAGACGGCGAAAAGCGUUGGGGAGGACCAA